rnacentral:rRNA from 1 species
AGAAUCAACGCUGGCGGCGUGCCUAACACAUGCAAGUCGAACGCGGUUACCCCGCAAGGGGUAACUGAGUGGCAAACGGGUGAGUAACGCGUGGGUGACCUACCUUCGAGUGGGGGAUAACGUUUCGAAAGGAACGCUAAUACCGCAUGACAUCCUGCCUUUGGACAGGCGGAGAUCAAAGCCGGGGAUCGCAAGACCUGGCGCUUAAAGAGGGGCCCGCGUCCGAUUAGCUAGUUGGUGGGGUAACGGCUCACCAAGGCGACGAUCGGUAGCCAGCCUGAGAGGGACGUAGCCAACCCGAGACGUAGGACUGAGACACGGCCAGACUCCGUACGGGAGCAGCAGGUCGGUAAUUUGCUACGAAGUGGGCGACAAGUCCGUAGAAGCAAGCCAACGCCGCGUGAGGGAGU